rnacentral:tRNA from 1 species
GCGGGUGUAGCUCAAUGGUAGAGCUUUUGGUUCCCAACCAAAUGACGAGGGUUCGAUUCCCUUCACCCGCUCCA